AUUGCCAAGGUAACCAAGAAGAUGAAAAAACCAUUUGCUUGACCUAAGCGAUUUCGCUGUGAUGCCUUUCGUUUGCUAAACGCCAACAACGAUGAUCUUUUUCGACAAAGGCCGAUAGGCGCCGGUUCUGGAUUUAACAGUUGGCGGUCUGUCUCUCGGUCUCGUGCCCAUUAUAGACGUGCAUCGUCGAAGUGUAUCAUCAUCACCCCAACGUGACGACAAGAGGCUUUCUGUCUCAGAUUUCUCAAAAACUCGAAAAUCCCGCCGACUUCGAAGUCCACCGCCACGCGUUUGUGCGGCAACAGAGCCCCAUUACCCCUGGCGAGGCUUUAUCACUCCCGAUCUCAAGCUCCGCUGGGGUUUCCCUGCUGUUAAGGCGACGGUCGCUUUGAUGCAGGGAAAUCUGAUUCUUUUCGGUUACGCCCCCGUUCCAAUGUCUCUUGUCGCAGUGUUAGCACUGAGAGUUCGCCAGUCCGCCAGAUAAUCUCGUGGCAUCUGCGCAAGAUUAGAGGUUGCGCUCGGAUCUAAGUCGGACAGUGCAACAGCUGUAGUACUUUCCGCGUCGUCCCUGCUUCAUCUGAGUAUUGUAAUUUCACAUCACCAUUAUAACCAUCGUCGUGGGUGCGGGCGAG